rnacentral:rRNA from 1 species
GUUUGAUCCUGGCUCAGAACGAACGCUGGCGGCGCGCCUAAUACAUGCAAGUCGAACGAGAAUGUGUAGCAAUACACAUGUACAGUGGNCGAACGGGUGAGGAAUACAUGGGUAACCUACCCUCGAGUGGGGAAUAACCAGCCGAAAGGUUGGCUAAUACCGCGUACGCUUCCGAGACUGCGGUUUCGGAAGGAAAGCGAUACCUUUGGUAUCGCCCUCUUGUAUGAAGUCAUCGACUUUUGUCUUGGUCAUUGUGCAACGUGUGAACCCUGGACAUACAGGCCAUGAUCAAUUUGACGCAUGCCCAGCCUUACCCGAUAUUUCACCGGCGUUCCGCUAAAGUGGCCAAUUAAAUGCUGGGAACAUCUGCUCAUGGUUGCCCUCCCCGAACACACCUAUCCAUAUUCCACCGCCACCUUGGCGAAACUGUGAGGAGAGACGUGUCUCUCAAGAUUUUGCGUGGCCCUGU